GAGGUCCGCGGCCUAUUUACCCAAGUUGGAGGUAGGGGCCUGUGGAAACAUGAAGAGGGUAAACAGCUGUGUGAAGAGUGAUGAGCAUGUCCUGGAGGAGCUGGAAACAGAAGGGGAGAGGCAGCUGAAAAGCCUCCUUCAGCAUCAACUUGAUACUUCUGUCUCCAUUGAGGAAUGUAUGUCUAAGAAAGAGAGCUUUGCUCCUGGUACUAUGUACAAGCCCUUUGGGAAGGAAGCAGCUGGGACUAUGACUUUGUCCCAAUUCCAGACACUGCAUGAGAAGGACCAGGAAACUGCUUCUCUCAGGGAAUUAGGGCUUAAUGAAACAGAAAUCUUGAUCUGGAAGAGCCAUGUUUCUGGUGAAAAGAAGACAAAACUGAGGGCAACUCCUGAAGCAAUACAGAACCGUCUUCAAGAUAUUGAAGAAAGGAUCUCGGAGCGUCAGCGCAUUCUUUGCCUGCCACAGAGAUUUGCAAAGAGCAAACAGCUGACCCGGCGAGAAAUGGAAAUAGAAAAGUCUUUAUUUCAGGGAGCUGAUCGUCACUCCUUCCUUAAGGCUCUUUAUUACCAAGCAUACCACAAAAAGACAAGUGCAGACAAGUACAUGACCUCAAUGAAGAGGAAGAUAAAAUUAGGCACAAAAGAUGAACCCCAAAAGAAGAACAAAGGUGAUCCCAUGAACAACCUGGAAAGUUUUUACCAAGAGAUGAUAAUGAAAAAACGUCUUGAAGAGUUUCAACUUAUGAGAGGACUUACCAGUUUUCCCAGAGAAGACUUCCAAAAUCUUUCUUACGAGGGUACUACCAGCGUUCUAGGAGCCAAAUGGCAGAAAAGGACUGGGAGGACCUCAACAUUUAGUAUUCUCUUAGUUUCCUUGCUUUCAGAAACAGUGUUCACAUCUUCAGCCAUGUAUGGCAUUCCCCAUCUUCUGACAAUGAGCCUCAAGUUUUCUACCAGGAUUGGCAAGUUAUCUUUUACCCCAUAGCAUAUUGUGAGGGAGGGUAUUUAAAAAUCAUAUUGGCUUUUAGACAGCCUUCAACUGAUUUGCCUUAUUUUAACCCCAUCCCUUCACAUUUAUUUCUGAAGGUAAGUGAAAUUAUCAGUUCCUGAACUAUUUAAGGAUUCUUAAGUGGUGACAGGUGUGUUCUUGGCUCUCUCCACUACCAGUUUAAAAUUCAGCUUUCUUCAGUGUGCUGAGUUGGUUCCUGCUCAUCCAAUUAUUUUUCAUCUUCCAGAUUAUUAUUGCUGUUGUCUCCUUUUCUUGUUCCUCCUGACCUUGUUGAUUUGUGUUUUUUUUUUUUUUUUUUUAAGUGCCUAUAGUUUUAGAGAGUUUUCUGGAUGGAAUGAAAUUAAAUGAAUGUGUUCAAUCCACCAUUUUUAUGUGAAACUAAUUCUAAUCAUAAUGAAAGAGUUUUCUUACGGCUGAGCAUGGUGUCUCACGCCUGUAAUCCCAGCAUUUUGGGAGGCCAAGGCGGGUGGAUCACCUGAGUUUGGGAGUUCAAGACCAGCCUGGACAACAUGGUGAAACCCCACGUCUACUAAAAAUACAAAAAUUAGCCAGGUGUGGUGGCACAUGACUGUAAUCCCAGCUACUCGGGAGGCUGAGGCAUGAGAAUCACUUGAGCCUGGGAGGCCAAGGUUGCAGUGAGCAGAGAUUGCGCCACUGCACUCCAGCCUGGGUGACAGAGUGAGACUUUGUCUCAAAAAGAAAAAAACAAAGAGUGCCUUACCUCCUUUAUAUGAUAUUUUGGUUGAUCCUCAAUUUGUUUUAGGUAUUAUACCUGAAGAACCUUAGCCCUCGGGUGACUGAAAGAGAUCUUGUGUCAUUGUUCGCUCGGUUCCAGGAGAAAAAAGGACCUCCAAUUCAAUUCCGAAUGAUGACUGGACGAAUGAGGGGCCAGGCUUUUAUCACCUUUCCCAAUAAGGAGAUAGCAUGGCAAGCAUUGCAUCUAGUAAAUGGAUACAAACUACAUGGGAAAAUAUUGGUGAUAGAGUUUGGAAAGAACAAAAAGCAACGGUCAAAUCUCCAAGCGACUUCUCUCAUAUCAUGUGCUACAGGUAGCACUACAGAAAUUAGUGGUAGCUAGAAUAUAUAUAAAUUGUGGGUCCUGGAUGGUCUUUCUUGAAUUGGAAUCUUGGAUCUAGGAUUUAUGUAUAGACACCAGUUUGUUUGGAGUUGAAGAGGAAAAACUAACUGAGGGAGGGGAAAAAAGUAAUUUCAGCUUUUGGAGAGAACUGGUAGAAAACAUUUUCUAUUAUAUAAUUGAAGACUAUAUAGGACAGAUGAUAUGCUGAGUAUGAAGGGUAAAGUGCAAAGAGUAUUAUUUUCUCAGGAUGAAUUACAACGGAUUAUUCCUAAGGAUUUUUAAAAAUCUUUAUAAUUUUUCUGGGGUCCUCAAUAUUUGUCUCUAGAGAUAACAUUCUUUCUUAGACUGCUUCGUAUACACAGAAAUAAAAAACUAAUUAAAUGUUGAAAUAUUUCUUUACUAGAGCCCAUUUGCCAUAUUUCAUCCACCUAGUAAAUAAAAGAGUAGGACCCCCAGGCCUAAGCAUCAACAAAUGCUAUUAAGUCAGAACUAUCAGCAGUAAUAGUAGGUAGUUUCAUAAGUCAGUUGACUUAUUUAAUGAAUGCUUCCUCCACAAGUUAUCAGUCUUCAAAAAGCUAUAUAUUUUUCUAGUGAAAUAUUUUAGAUCAAAAUGUUGGUGUUCUCACAGCCAUUUAAGCUAGCAACCAUUGAGUAUCAUUGAAUUCAUAGCAAUAAACAUUGAUUAAGUGUCUAAUAUAUGUUAAAUAUUAGGCAUAUGAAUUUUAGAAGAGGAACAUACAAGCAAAGAAUGCCAAACGGAAAUGGAAAUAAAGCGUUCUCUAGAAAAGAGGAUGCCAGUCACAAAUCCCCCAGUUGUUUGUUUAUGGUUGCUGGAAAAUAAAAAAACAAUAUACAGAGAGGAAGUAGUACAAACUGGAGUCAGACCUGUACAGCCACACUUAACAUUCUAUGACCUUGGCAAGUCACUUAAUCUGAGCCUCACAUUUUUCAUCUAUAAAGUGAGGAUAAUAAUGCUACUUACCUCACUGGGUUGUGAAGAUGAACUGAGAUAUUAUCCAGGCUGAAGAACAGAAAGGAAAACAAUGAAUAAAAUUGAACAAGAGUAUAGAACCUGUGUGACACCAUUAAGCAUUCCUACAUAUUUCUAAUGGGAGUACAGGAAAAAAGGAAAAGAAAUGAAGGAGCAGAAAAAUAUUCUAAGAAAUAAUGGCUAUAAAUACCCCCGAUUUGAUGAGAGACAUUAACCUAUACAUCCCAGAAGAAAAAGAAAUUACAGACAGAUACAUCAUAAGAAAAAUGCUAAAACCCAAAAACGAAAAGAAAAUCUUAACAGCAAUACGAGAAAAAUGAGCCAUCACUUACCAAGGAACCCAAAUAAAAUUAGUAGUUGACUUCCCCUCAGAAACAAUGGCAGUGGCAGUGGAAUAACACAUUCAAAGUGUUCAAAGAAAAUAACUGUCAACCAAUAAUCCUAUAUACAAUAAAACUAUUUUUCAAAAAUGAACGUGAAAUAAAACAUCUCACAUAAUCAAAAACCAAGAGAAUUUGUUGCUGGCAGACCUGACUUGCUGGAAAUACAAAAGGAAGUUCUUCAGCCUGAAAGCAAGUGACCACAGACAGUAAUCUGAAUCUACACACAUGCAGAAAAAGAGCACAGGCAAAAAUAAUUAUGUAAUUAUCAGAAACAAUCUAUGCAUUUUUCUUUUUUCUCUUAACUAAUGUAAAACACAGUUGUAUAAAACAAUAUGUAUAUAGUUGCAUCGUUUGGCCUAUAACGUAUAAAAUAUAAUAUAUUUGCCGAUAACAGGUUGAAGAAGCUGAGUGGAAGCAAAACUGUCUUGUACUAAAGAACUGACUCCAGAUGGUAAGACAAAUCCACAGGAACAAAUGGAGAGAACGUGAAAUAGGAAAUAAGUUUAAUAUAAAAAAACUAUAAACAUAUACUUACUCUUCUCUCAGCUUCUUUUAAAGAUGUAAAAUUAUAUUAAGUAAUUAUAAUAAUGUGUGUUGGGUUUGUAAUGUAUAGGAAUAACAUAUAUAACAAUAAUACCACAAAGCGGGGGAUGGGUUUAUAUAGGAAUAGGGUUGUUACAUUGGAAUUAAGUUAGUGUUUAUCUGAAGCCUAUUCUGUUUAGUUAAGAUGUGUAUGGUAAGCCCUAGAGCAACCACUGAGGAAAUAACUUUUAAAAAAUCAAAAAUAUUAUUAAAUGUAAAUAUCACAUUAUGAAAUAAUGCAAAAGAAGGAAUGGAGAAGCAAAAAGCUUGAGGCAUAUCAAAAACAAUAAAAUGGCAGUCAUAAGUCUUCCUAUAUCAAAAUAACAAUGUGCAUGGAUUAAGCAAUACUAUAAAAGGCAGAGAUGUCAGAAACAAGUCUGAUUCCACUUCAUGCCAUCUAUUUGAGACACACUUUAGAAGAUAGAAAGAGAUUAAAGGUAAAAGGAUGGAAAACAAAUAUAUCACACAGACAACAGCCAUAAGAAAGCUGGAGUGGCUAUUCUAAUACCAGACAAAAUAGACUUAAAAAAAUGUUACUGGAGAUAAAGAGUAAAAUGUUACAAUGAUAAAAGGGUCAAUACAUCAGGAAGAUGUAACAACUAUAAAUAUAUAUGCAUCUAACAGUAGAGCCCAAAAUACAUGAAGCAAAAACUGAAAGGAAAGGAGAAACAGAUAAGUCCAUAAAAAGAGUUGGAAUAUUCAAUACCCCUUUUUCAAUAAUAGAGCACCUAGACAGAAGAUAAACCAGGAAAUAGAAGACUUGAACAACAUUAUAAGGCAAAUUGACCUAAAAGACAUCUAUAGAACUUUCCACCCAACAUCAGAAUACAUAUUCUUCUCGAGUGCAUAUGAAACAUCUCCAAAAUAGGUCAUAAGUUAAAGCAUAAAACAAGCCUUAAUAAAUAUAAGUAGACUGAAAUCAUGCAAAGCAUGCCCUCUGACCACAUGGGAUGAAGUUAGAAAACAAUGAAAAGUUGGGAAACUCACAAAUAUGUGGAAAUCAGACACACUUGUAAGUGACUGGCUGGGUGCAGUAGCUCACGCCUGAAAUCUCAGCACUUUGGUAGGCCGAAGUGGGAGGAUUCCUUGGAUCCCUUGAGACCAGGAAUUCAAGACCAGCCUGGGCAACACAGCAAGACCCUGUCAUUACCAAAAAAAAAAAAAAAUGUGUCAAAGAAAAAAAUCAUAAGGGAAAUUACAAAACCCUUUGAGAUGAGUGAUAAUGAAGACACAACAAACCAAAACUUACAAGAUGCAGCUAAAGCAGUGUUUACAGGGAAAUCUAUAGGUACAAAUGCCUGUACUUAAGAAGAAAAAAGACCAGGCACAGUGGCUUACGCCUGUAAUCCCAGCACUUUGGGAGGCCGGGGCGGGUGGAGAUCAUGGGGUCAGGAGAUCGAGACCAUUCUGGGUAACAUGGUGAAACCCUGUCUCUACUAAAAAUACAAAAAAUUAGCCAGGCGUGGUCGUGGGCACCUGUAGUCCCAGCUACUCGGGAGGCUGAGGCAGGAGAAUGGCGUGAACCUGGGAGGCAGAGCUUGCAGUGAGCCAAGAUUGCACCACUGCACUCCAGCCUGGGCAGCAGAGCGAGACUCCAUCUCAAAAAAAAAAAAAAAAAGAAAAGAAAGACCAUAGCACUAACCUCACUUUACACCUUAAGACCCUGGAAAAAGAAGAGCAAACUAAACCUAGAGCCAGGAGAAAGAAGGAAAUAUAAAAGAUUAGAUGAGAAUAAAUGAAAUAGAGUGAAGAAAAGUAGAGAAAAAUCAAUGCAACCAAAAGUUGAUUCUAUAAAAAGAUCAGUAAAACUGACACACCUUCUGCUAGACUGACCAGGAAAAAAGGAGAAUCAAAUUACUAAAAUCAGAAAUGAAGGAGGGAACAUUUCAACUGAACUUGUAGAAAUAAAAAAGAUUAUGAAGGCAUAUUAUGAAUAAUUUUAUGUCAAUAAAUUAUCAAUGAAGUGGACAAAUUCCUAGGAAGACACAAACUACCAAAACCAACUCAGAAGUAGAAAACUUGAAUAAACCUAUAUCAAGUAAAUAGGUUAAAUGAGUUUUUGAAAAGAUACCCACAAAGAAGAGCCCAGGCUGAAAUAGCUUCUUAAAUGAAUUCUACAAAACUUUUAAUGAAAAAUUAAUACAAAUUCUUCACAAACUUUUUCAAAAAGUAGAAGAGUGGUGAACACUUCUGACACAUACUACAACAUGGAAGAACUCAGAAUAUGCUCAGUGCAAGAAGCCAGUCACAAAAGACUACAUAUUAUAUGAUACUAUUUAUAUGAAGUGUCCAGAAUUGGCAAAUAUAUAGAGAUAGAAAGUGGAUUAGUGGUUGCUUAGGGCUAGCACAGAGUUGGGGGGAAUGGGAAGGGCUGGGGGUAACAGUUGAAGUGUAUGAAGUUUCUUUAGAGGUUGAUGAAAGUGUUCUAAAAUUGGUCGUGGUGGUGAUUUCACAACUCUGAAUAUACUAAAAACCAGGAAUUGUACACGUUAAAUGGGUGAAUUGUGUGGUGUAUGAAUUAUAUCUCAAUAAAACUCACAAAAGUAGGGGUGUCCAUCAAUAGGAAAAUGGGUAAAUAACUUAUGGUACAUCUAUUUAGUACAAUACUAUGCAGCCAUUAAAAUAGUGAAGUGUAUCUAUGAAUAUAUUAUGACCUAUACUCAUGUCCAAGGUUGUGUAUUAAGUUAAUAAACAAGAUGCAGAAAUAUGUAUAGUAUGAAUACAUUUUUAUGCAAAAGCAUUCAUUUAUGUAUAGUAUGUAUGUAUAUAGAUAUUUCUGAAUAAAUUUAAGAAAAAGCUGGGAAAUAGACAUAGAAAGUUAUAAACCUUUGGAAGUGGGAUUGAAUAGGCUGAAGGAGGACUUUCACUUUGUAAAAUUUUUAAAGUGGUGUGAUUUUGGGGUGAUUUUUACUUUUUUCAUUUUUUUUUUUAACUAAAAAAUUUUUUAAAAAAUAUUCUGCCAAUGGCAUGGCUUCCAGAAUAUUUGUCAGGCCUACUCUGGGGAUAUCAUCUGACUAUACUCAGGACAAACUCCUAUUCCUUUGAUAUACUGCUCACUUAGGAUUAACACUCUAAUUUCAGACAUAGUUAAGUGACAAGGAAUAAAUUAUCCUGAUAUAGCCUCUGAUACAUGUUACCAGGGGCAUACUUCUAAGCUGGACUUUUUAGAAGGAAGUGCUUCCUGUUAGGUAGAAAAUUUCACCUCUGCUUUUUACUAGACCUACAGACCACUGCAAUUGAGGAACAUAAAAAUGAAGGAUAUCCUUCAACUGGUGCAUAGAUAAACCGUAGUAUAUCCAUGCAAUGGAAUCCUACUCAGCAAUAAACUAAUGAAAUACACAUGCAACCACUUGGAUGAAUCUUAAAUGCAUUUUACUAAGUAAAAGAAGCCAAACUCAAAAGGCUGCUUACUGUUUGAUUCCAUUCAUAUUAUUUUCUCAAAAAGCAAAACAAUAGGGAUGGAGAAAAAACUUCAGUGGAUGUCAGGGGUUAAGGUUGGAAUGCUCCUUGACUACAAAGUGGUAGCAUGAGGAAUUUGUCUUAAUAAUUGAAAUUUUCCGUGUCUUUAUUGUAGUUACAUAAGUAUAUGCAUUUGUCAAAACCCAUAGGCUUGUACACUAAAAAGGAUGAAUUUUACUGUGUGUAAUUUUUUUAAAUAAAUGUUAUUUUUAUGGAGGAAAGAAAAA